rnacentral:rRNA from 1 species
GACGAACGCUGGCGGCGUGCUUAACACAUGCAAGUCGAACGAAGUGGCGAACGGGUGAGUAACGCGUAAUCAACCUGCCCUUCAGCGGGGGACAACAGUUGGAAACGACUGCUAAUACCGCAUACUGAAGGCGGGGAUUGCGUCUGAUUAGCUAGUUGAAGGGGUAACGGCCAACCAAGGCGGUGAUCAGUAGCCGGUCCGAGAGGAUGAACGGCCACAUUGGUACUGAGACACCGCCCAGACUACUACGGGAGGCAGCAGUGGGGAAUCUUCCGAAAUGGACGAAAGUCUGACGGAGCAACGCCGCGUGAGUGAUGACGGCCUUCGGGUUUUAAAGCUCUGUUAAUCGGGACGCGGUACCGGAAUAGAAAGCCACGGCUAACUACGUGCCAGCAGCCGCGGUAAUUC